GAGUAACUAUGACUCUCUUAAGGUAGCCAAAUGCCUCGUCAUCAUCAUAUGUGUCCUCAAACCAGUUGAGGCUGGGGUCGGUGGGGGUGGGUGCAGGGGGGCAGGGGGUCAAGGGGUCGAGGGGUCAAGGAGGGGUUGGAAGGCUGGAGGGGACCGAGGGCGUGGGGGUUAGGGGUCACGAGGGGAGGGGGGGGGGGAGGCAAGGUCUAGUAAGCUGGCUCACGCCGGCUGGACGACCAACCCUCCCCCCCCCCUCCCCGUGGCUCUCACCCCCCACGCUCACGGGUCCCUCCAGCCCUCCGACCCCCCCCCUGACCUCCCGACCUCUCGACCUCCCGCCUCCUCGCCCUCGCCCCUGCCGGCCCCGGCCGUGAUGCCUCGGUAGCCAGCGUCGUUCACAUAGCCACCAACAGGGGUGGGAGGACCUCCGGGACCUCCCGCCCCCUAGUAAGUGACUAAUGGGUUCCCUCUCCCACAGUAAUCGGUGAAAGCAGCCUGGUAGACGCCAACCCCCUCUCGAGGGAAGCGGCCCUGCCGGUCUGUCGGACCCGUGUCAGAAGGGGGGGAGCCUGCACCAAAUUGCAUGAAGGGGACCUGCCUGAACCUCCGAGCACCUAGUGCAAAGGGGCGAGGGUCCCCGACAGGCAGCCAAGCCGAGGUAUGGCCCCAGAUCUGGGAAGCUCCGAGGAGCCGCCCGGGUGGAUGGGAGUGGGUCAUACUGAGGAAGGUUCAGAGACUGAAAGGUGCUCUGGGCUGGGCUUUGGGGGUCUCGACCCGGUGGAUGGUAGGCGGGGGGGAUGGAUAGGCUGGGGGGGGGGGGAGGGGUGGGUGGGGUUGUAGGCUGGGCAGGGCAAGGGGGUGGUGGGAGGUAGAUAGAGGGUACCGGACCUUGGUCCAGUGCCCCGAGUCUACCCUCUCACCCCUCCCUUGUCCUGCCCAGCCCACACAACCCCCCCACCCCUCCCCCCCCCCCCCAGCCUAUCCAUCCCCCCCCCUACCAUCCACCGGGGCCCCAAGGUACCGGCCCUAGCUGAUACAGUCCAUCGCCAGGGGGGGAAAAGCUGUAUAAGCGGGUGGCUUGCGCCCCCGGCAGGGAUGGGUCGGAGGGUAGGACUGGUAGCGAGGUGGGGGGGGAGGAUGGGGAAGGUUGACGUGAGACCGCAAGGUCCCACCGAAGCCGACCUCUCCACCUCCCCCCACCUCGCCACCACUCCUACCCUCCCAUCCAGCUCUGCCGGGGGAAGAGCAUUGGCCAGUGGCUCGGUUGCUUUGUACCCCCCGUCUAGAUGUUAAUUUGUGACGCGCAUGAAUGGAUUAAUGAGAUUCCCACUGUCCCUACCUACUAUCUAGCGAAACCACAGCCAAGGGAACGGGCUUGGCCCAAUUAGCGGGGAAAGAAGACCCUGUUGAGCUUGACUCUAGGCACAGAAGCGAGGUGAUUCUAAAGGUGUAGCAUAGGUGGGAGGGCCUGGCCCGACCCUGAAAUACCACCACUUUCGACAUCGCUUUGCUAAUGCUGUAACGAAUGGACGGCCCCCUGAUGUCUCGGCUGCCUCCGGGUGGUCGACCAUUGGGUAAGGCUUCUUUCUGGUGAUCUCCCGGUCUGACACGGUGGCUUGGCCCCUCUGGGUGAGUACUUCGAGACCAUGAGUUGGGCUUCCGAGCCUGGCGAUUGCUGUCUUGGGGGAACCAGCGACGGUUGAGCCGCCCUCUGUCGGACCUCGUAGGGUACAUAAGCCGUGUAGCAAACCAUCUGUGUUGGGGAGUUUGGCUGGGGCGGAAAACUGCUACACGGCAACGGCAGUCUCCUAAGGUCCACUCAGAGACGACAGAAACGUCUCGUAGAGCAUAAAGGCAAAAGUGGGCUUAACUUACAUUUUCAGUAGUAAUGUGAAGCAAGAAAUUGAGGCUUAACGAUCCUUAGCGUCGGGUGCCAGCCCGCGCUUGAGGUGAGAGAAAAGUUACCACAGGGAUUGAUUUUCAUGUCGGUGGUCCCUGAGACCACCGAGGGCCGUCUGAUCCAACGCCCAACCCAGUCUUGAUAGCCUUCCGAGCCAACGGGGCCCUCCCAAGCCCCCCCCCUCCCGCCUCCUCCCAGCCGUCGCCGCCGCCUCCACCCAGCCACCCAGCCUAGCCUCCGUCAGUAAGCCUGCCACUGGUCCCUUUCCAGCAAGUCUCCUCACGCCGAACCCUGCCUACCUGCCGCUCCAUCCUCUGGUCUGCCUCUCCGAACCCCCCCAUCGCUCUCAGACCUAGGUCAGGGAGACUGAGGGGUCUAGGAAGACAGGGGGGAUGGGGUGGUAGGGAGGUCGGGGGGAGGUUGCGGGAGGCUUGCUGGUGGGGGGGUCAGUGAAGGGCCCAACCCCGGGGGCAAAAGCAGGUGGGUGUGUGGAUGCGGGGGUGCAGUCUGAGAGGGCGGCGGGGGGGGGGGGUCUAGGGGUCUCCUAGUAGCGAGCGAACAGGGUACUUCCAGCCACCCCUCCCAGCCAUCAGCCGCCUCCCAGCCAUCUGUCCCUGUCUCUCUUCCGCCGUCAGUAGCCUGCCGCUGGUCCUCUAUCUCAGCUAGCCUUGCCGAACCUUGCCUACCUGCCACACCGUCCUUCGGUCUGCCUCUCCAAACCCCCCCAUCGCUCUCAGACCUACCUGGAAAGCCCUAUCCCCCUCGGGGGUGAAAGGCCCAAGGGUAGGUCAGGGAGACUGAGGGGUCAAGGAAGACAGGGGGGAUGGGGUGGUAGGGAGGUCGGGGGAGGUGGGGUCUCGCUGGGGGAUGGGGGUUAGCCAAGGGUCAACCCGGCGGGGGAGGGGCAGGUGCAUAUGGGUGGGUCGAUGCCGAUGACCGAGAGGGGGGGCCAAGGGGUCCCCCAGUAGCGAGCGAACAGAGCACCAGCCACCCCUCCCAACCAUCAGCCACCUCCCAGCCACCCGUCUCUGUCUCUCUCUUCCGCCGUCAGUAGCCCCGCCACUGGUCCCCCUAUCUCAGCUAGCCUUGUCGAACCUUGCCUACCUACCACGCCACCCUCCGGUCUGCCUCUCCGAACCCCCCCAUCGCUCUCAGACCUACCUGGAAAGCCCUAUCCCUCUCGGGGGUCAAGGCCAAACAAGGGUAGGUCAGGGAGACUGAGGGGUCUAGGAAGACAGGGGGGGUGGGGUGGUGGGGAGGUCGGGGGAAGCGGGGUGUCGUUGGGUGAUGGGGGCCCAGCCAAGGGUCAACCCGGUGGGGGAGAGGGGAAGGGUACGUGUGGGUGGGUGGAUGCCGAUAACCGAGAGGGAGGUCGAGGGAUCCCCAAGUAGCGAGCGAACAGGGUACUUCCAGCCACCCUCCCAGCCAUCAGCCGCCUCCCAGCCACCUGCCUCUCUGCCACCGUCAGUAGCCCCUGCCACUGGUCCCUUCUCUCAGCUAGCCUUUGCCGAACCUUGCCUACCUGCCACGCCAUCCUCCGGUCUGCCUCUCCGAACCCCCCCAUCGCUCUCAGACCUACCUGGAAAGCCCUAUCCCCCUCGGGGGUCAAGGCCAAACAAGGGUAGGUCAGGGAGACUGAGGGGUCUAGGAAGACAGGGGGGGUGGGGUGGUGGGGAGGUCGGGGGAGGUGGGGUCUCGCUGGGGGAUGGGGUCAGCCGCUGGUCCCCUACCUCAGCUAGCCUUGCCGAACCUUGCCUACCUGUCACGCCACCCUCCGGUCUGCCUCUCCGAACCCCCCCAUCGCUCUCAGACCUACCUAGAAAGCCCUAUCCCCCUCGGGGGUGCAAGGCCCAAGGGUAGGUCAGGGGGACUGAGGGGUCUAGGAAGACAGGGGGGGUGGGGUGGUGGGGAGGUCGGGGGAGGUGGGGUCUCGCUGGGGGAUGGGGCCCAGCCAAGGGUCAACCCGGGGGGAGAGAUGCAUGUGGGUGGGUCGAUGCCGAUGACCGGGAGCGAGGCCAAGGGGUCCCUCAGUAGUGAAGGCAAACCAGUCUGCAAAGGCCUGUAUCUGGCCUAGGCGUUCUCAAGUCUGGACGUGCUUCAACGGCAGGGCUGCUUAACUGCAUACCUACCGCGGGGGUACCGAAGGGCGACACACCUCGAUGCGGGGAAGACCCAUACCAAAUGACGGCAGUACCAGGCUCUCUCGGUUAACACCGGGAGCCCACGUCGAACCACCCAGACCACCCCUCCUCAAGCUCUAUCAUCCCCCUCCCCCCUGUCCCCCAACCUCCCUUCCUACGCUUGCCUCUGGGCUUGCAAAGGCGGGGGAGGGUGGGCGAUUGGGGGGGGGGGUGGGUGGAGGGCGAGGGGGGCAGAAUGAGAAGGGUGGGGAGACCUGGUUAUAACCUGUCGUCAGGGUUCACUCGCAGGCAACAAGGCCCAUCCAAACCUCAGGCAACGCCAUUGUAGUGCGCGGCCAACGGGGCGGGUAUGGUGGGCUGCGUGUCUCAAAGACUGCAAAGGUGUGGGCUUAGCUACCACUUAAGCGACUCCCAGGGGGGAGAGGGACACCUCUCCUCCUGGGGCGUGAUGGGUGUGGGCGCGGCUUAAGGUACAGUCUACUCCCACCCGCAAGGGAUUUCCAGCGAGAGGAGGACCGAGGGAGGGCAAACCAACCACCUCGGACCACCGUGUCUUGUCUCCGACUGCUCAACCAGCCUGCUUCCGACCUACUCAACCCAUCCUCAAGCAACCCCCCCUACCUACCCACCCCCUUGGCUUCAUCUGAAGCCCGGGAGGUGGGUGGCUGGGAGGGGCCAGCGAGGGGAUGGGGACGGGUGGCUAGGGGGUUAAGGCUGGGAGGGUACGAGGGGGCAGGGUCCUGGAGGGGCAUCCGUGCCCUGGGUAACCAACCGGAACUGGCUUGUGGCCGCCAAGCGUUCAUAGCGACGUGGC
rnacentral:rRNA from 1 species